rnacentral:rRNA from 1 species
GACGAACGCUGGCGGCGUGCUUAACACAUGCAAGUCGAACGGAAAGGCCCUGCUUUUGUGGGGUGCUCGAGUGGCGAACGGGUGAGUAACACGUGAGUAACCUGCCCUUGACUUUGGGAUAACUUCAGGAAACUGGGGCUAAUACCGGAUAGGAGCUCCUGCUGCAUGGUGGGGGUUGGAAAGAUUCGGCGGUUGGGGAUGGACUCGCGGCUUAUCAGCUUGUUGGUGGGGUAGUGGCUUACCAAGGCUUUGAAGGGUAGCCGGCCUGAGAGGGUGACCGGCCACAUUGGGACUGAGAUAGGGCCCAGACUCCUACGGGAGGCAACAGUGGGGAACAUUGCACAAUGGGCGGAAGCCUGAUGCAGCAACGCCGCGUGCGGGAUGACGGCCUUCGGGUUGUAAACCGCUUUCGCCUGUGACGAAGCGUGAGUGACGGUAAUGGGUAAAGAAGCACCGGCUAACUACGUG